rnacentral:rRNA from 1 species
AUUGAACGCUGGCGGCAUGCCUUACACAUGCAAGUCAAACGGUAACGCGGGGCAACCUGGCGACGAGUGGCGAACGGGUGAGUAAAGUAUCGGAACGUGCCCAGUAGUGUGGGAUAGCCCGGCGAAAGCCGGAUUAAUACCGCAUGAGACCUGAGGGUGAAAGCGGGGGAUCGCAAGACCUCGUGCUAUUGGAGCGGCCGAUAUCAGAUUAGGUAGUUGGUGGGGUAAAGGCCUACCAAGCCGACGAUCUGUAGCUGGUCUGAGAGGACGACCAGCCACACUGGGACUGAGAGCCGGCCCAGGCUCCUACGGGAGGCAGCAGUGGGGAAUUUUGGACAAUGGGCGAAAGCCUGAUUCAGCCAUGCCGCGUGCGGGAAGAAGGCCUUCGGGUUGUAAACCGCUUUUGUCGGGGAAGAAAUCUUCUGGGUUAAUACCCUGGGAGGAUGACGGUACCCGAAGAAUAAGCACCGGCUAACUACGUGCCAGCCGCCGCCGUAA